rnacentral:lncRNA from 1 species
GGAUCAUAGAGCCUCUCCUGGCCUGUGCCAACAUGUCUCAUAGUAAGGGCAUGGUUUAUAAUGACUAGAAACUGGAGGUCUUUUCCAUAAUUGUCCCCAGUGUCCCAUUGUUUCUCACAUACACAAACAUGAUUCAGUUUAUAUGUGUUCUAAAAACUUUGAUGUAUAUAUACAUUUAGCACAAACCCCUUAGUGCACAUAAUUUCUUCAUGUACGAUGAUCAAAAUGGCAGACAUAACUUGAAAGUAAUUUGUUUUUUUCUAUUCAAUGCAGGAAACAAUCUGGCCCUUGAAACUUGUGGGGAAAGCAGUUCUUCCCAUGGAACAGGUGGACCAAAGCCAGGUGAUGUGAAGGGAAUUUUCAUUGUUGGUAACGUACUUCAGAAAAGCACACUAAUGCUCCUGUAACACAUAUUCCGUGUAAAUUCUGAGACAGAGGACACUCCUUUCCACAAGAAACAUGGUAUAUUAUCUACAUUGAAUUCAAAGCCAGUAGGAAUGCUUUCAGGCUAAAAAUACAGAAAAUGAUGGCAAAAAAAAUAUCCUGGUGUAUCUUUAGGACCCAUUAGUAGUUUUAGAAAGUUGUUUAAAACUAAAGUGCUUCGAUACCAGGAAGCAUUAUUCAUCAGUAGGUAAUAGGAGUGAGUUUCAUAACUUGUUCUUAUAUACGCCCUGUUUCAGUGCUCUUUACUAAUUCACUUGAGAGAUUUUGAUUGUGCAUGCAAGGUGAGGAGUAUUGUACUUACAAAUGGUGGCAGUUGCUUUGUUUUGCUUUGCUUUGCUUUGCUUUGCUUUGCUUUGCUUUUGAGACAGGGUCUCACCAUGUAGCCCUAGCUAACUCAGUAUCAGACCAGGCUGGCCUAUUGAUUCACAGGGAUCCAUCUGCCUCUGCCCUGUAAGUGCUGGGUUAAAGUCAUGUAUCAUCAUGGCCAAAAGUGGUGCGGUUUGUUUUGUUUGUUUGUUUUGUUUUGUUUAUUUAUAUACUGUGAAAUCUUAGAAAACUGGGUGAAAUUAUCUAUAUUCCAGAUUUUGUCAAAAGUAAGUGACAAAAUCUGUUUGUUUGUUUGUUUGUUUCUUACUUUUUAAAUGUCAGUCAUUGUAAGUGCUUAUCUCAUUUCUUUGUUGUGUGGUGGGGUAGUGAGGACCAAGGACUCUGAAACAGCUCACUACUGUUUGCUUACAUUGUAUAAAUAGCACACACAGUGCAUGCAGAGUUAAAGUCAAAUGUUAAUAUGUGAGCACUGUAUAAUCAGAAUGAGUCUGGCUCUGACCUGCUAUGUCAGAUGAUCUGUGGUAAAGGUCAAACUCAGAACUAAUCUAGAGUUUUUGAUAUGAUAGACCUCAAUUUAGAAAUUGUCCAGGAUUUAUACAGGGUUUUAGCUAAGUAGGAAAGCACUUGCCUACUAUACUCAAGGUUCUGGUUUCCGUCCUCAGGUUGGCAAUAGAGUUAUCCAUGAGUCAGUUCAUUUUGUUCCUUAAACAGUUCAAAUGUCUAGAUUUCUGUUAUGUUUUUCUAAAAACCUCAAUGACUACGUUCAAUACAGCAUUUCUUUUCACCCUGCAGUAAUCUGUGAACAUUUGAAGACUAUGUAAAUGGAAUGCUCUCAUAUUUUUCAUAAAUCAGCCCAACAGUUCUGCUUAAUGUGUCCUUGAACUGGAGGAUACUUUGUGCAUUGAUUAAAUUGAGGCUUUAAAUGAUUUCUUGUAGAGAAAUCAAGCAAUACUUUUGAAAAUAUUUUUGUACAUUUUGGAAAAUCUCUCUAACUGUGUUAUACAUUUAAAGUACAAGUAUCAGGUUUUCAAAUUACAGUGGUAGCUGCUAUAAAUUUCCACUAACAAGAAGGAGUGGAAUACCCUUGGUUUUUUAAAGGGUGGCUAUAUGUUGGUACCAAAGAUUUUUCUAACAGGAGUGCAGUAGUAUUUACCUUAUUAACUGAAC